rnacentral:tRNA from 1 species
GCGCCUGUAGCUCACUUGGAUAGAGCGCGGCUCUCCUAAGGCCGGCGUAGGCCGUUCGAAUCGGCCCAGGCGCA